GAUGAACGCUGGCGGCGUGCCUAAUACAUGCAAGUCGAGCGAACAGACGAGGAGCUUGCUCCUCUGACGUUAGCGGCGGACGGGUGAGUAACACGUGGAUAACCUACCUAUAAGACUGGGAUAACUUCGGGAAACCGGAGCUAAUACCGGAUAAUAUAUUGAACCGCAUGGUUCAAUAGUGAAAGACGGUUUUGCUGUCACUUAUAGAUGGAUCCGCGCCGCAUUAGCUAGUUGGUAAGGUAACGGCUUACCAAGGCAACGAUGCGUAGCCGACCUGAGAGGGUGAUCGGUCACACUGGAACUGAGACACGGUCCAGACUCCUACGGGAGGCAUCAGUAGGGAAUCUUCCGCAAAGGGCGAAAGCCUGACGGAGCAACGCCGCGUGAGUGAUGAAGGUCCUCGGAUCGUAAAACUCUGUUAUUAGGGAAGAACAAAUGUGUAAGUAACUAUGCACGUCUUGACGGUACCUAAUCAGAAAGCCACGGCUAACUACGUG
rnacentral:rRNA from 1 species